AUUGAACGCUGGCGGCAGGCCUAACACAUGCAAGUCGAACGGUAACAGGAAGAAGCUUGCUUCUUUGCUGACGAGUGGCGGACGGGUGAGUAAUGUCUGGGAAACUGCCUGAUGGAGGGGGAUAACUACUGGAAACGGUAGCUAAUACCGCAUAACGUCGCAAGACCAAAGAGGGGGACCUUCGGGCCUCUUGCCAUCGGAUGUGCCCAAUGGGAUUAGCUAGUAGGUGGGGUAACGGCUCACCUAGGCGACGAUCCCUAGCUGGUCUGAGAGGAUGACCAGCCACACUGGAACUGAGACACGGUCCAGACUCCUACGGGAGGCAGCAGUGGGGAAUAUUGCACAAUGGGCGCAAGCCUGAUGCAGCCAUGCCGCGUGUAUGAAGAAGGCCUUCGGGUUGUAAAGUACUUUCAGCGGGGAGGAAGGGAGUAAAGUUAAUACCUUUGCUCAUUGACGUUACCCGCAGAAGAAGCACCGGCUAACUCCGUG
rnacentral:rRNA from 1 species